rnacentral:lncRNA from 1 species
GUAUACACUUCUACAACUCUUGCGUCUCUUUGUGCCACUUUCGUGAAUUUACUUCCGCUAGCGUAUUUGCUAUCAUUCUGCCGGGUUUGGCAAUCAAGGGUAGGCUGACUAGCUAUCUUGACUUUCGGGGAAAUCAAGCAAGCUAGGCCGCACGUGGGCAAAGUUUUGGAGAUAAAACAAAACUCACGUGACAGUUGGUAUCAGAGCC